rnacentral:rRNA from 1 species
AUUGAACGCUGGCGGCAGGCCUAACACAUGCAAGUCGAGCGGAUGAAGGGAGCUUGCUCCUGGAUUCAGCGGCGGACGGGUGAGUAAUGCCUAGGAAUCUGCCUGGUAGUGGGGGAUAACGUCCGGAAACGGGCGCUAAUACCGCAUACGUCCUGAGGGAGAAAGUGGGGGAUCUUCGGACCUCACGCUAUCAGAUGAGCCUAGGUCGGAUUAGCUAGUUGGUGGGGUAAAGGCCUACCAAGGCGACGAUCCGUAACUGGUCUGAGAGGAUGAUCAGUCACACUGGAACUGAGACACGGUCCAGACUCCUACGGGAGGCAGCAGUGGGGAAUAUUGGACAGUGGGCGAAAGCCUGAUCCAGCCAUGCCGCGUGUGUGAAGAAGGUCUUCGGAUUGUAAAACACUUUAAGUUGGGAGGAAGGGCAGUAAGUUAAUACCUUGCUGUUUUGACGUUACCAACAGAAUAAGCACCGGCUAACUUCGUG